UCCUUACGCCGGCCCAGGGGGUGCGCUCCCCGCCUCCUCCCGCCGGGCGCUGAGGGGGCCGAGUGUGGGGCACACCGCUGCUGCCUGAAAAACCUGGGGACAUAAGCGGCUGCGUGAGAGGAGGAGAUGUGCAGGGCGUCAGCCGAGACCCAAGCUCCGGCUGCGGCCUUGCCUGAUCCCUUGCCGGGCCUCAGCUGUUUCGCCUCUCGGUUAAGUGAGGAUGGUGCGGCUUUACAGGGAUAUCCACUGGAAACAAUGACCCUUCUCCCAGGAGCCUGAGCUUCAGCUCUACUUCCUGUAUUAGCACUGAAAGAAUUCAGUGGAAACUCAGAGAGUGAUGUGAAUGAAAGCAGAAUCAGAGCUGGUAAAAAAAAAAAAAAAGACCAUCA